rnacentral:lncRNA from 10 species
GCGUAACUUCCUGUGCGCCACGUCCGGCCGGAAUUCCACCGGACCCGCAGUCCCGCUGAGCGCCCGACUCGGCUAGUGACGUCACUUCCGACCUGUCUUUGAGUUCACCUGGCAUCCUGAUGCGCUCCAGAUCUUGCUUGUCGGAUUUUAUUUCGCCGGUUUGCUUCUCCGCCUGUGUAUCUAGCCUGGAAAAGUGCAUGUUAUCUUUUUGCAAACUUCUUUAGCCUUCUUUUCGGCAGCCACUUCCCUCUGCUCCUUCUGUAGCUUGGACUCAUCACUGGUCAAAUUCACCUGGCCUCUUGGAGAAAUCAUGAUUGUUACUAUGAUUUUUCUUAUUUAUCUACCUAGUGGAGUGCUAAGAGUGCAGGCAGUGAGGUUGUGCUAUCUGGUUUCAAGUGCUGCCUCUCACUUCUAACAGUGUUACCUGGGCAUGAUACUUAACCUCUCUGUGCCCACUUCAAGUGUGAAACAUAAUACUAGUACCUAGAAAAUAGGACGAUUGUAUUACUUGAGAUAAUACGUGGAAAGCACUGGCAUAUUGAAAGCAUUCGAUGAGUGUUAACCAUUACUUUUUGCACUACUAUGCACUCUUAUUCCCUGUUGGAACAUACCUGUGCUUAAGGACAACUGGAACCAGAUUUCCUGCUACCCUUUAUGUCCCCCCUACUUUUUUUUAUGUUUAUGGAUACUCGGCUUUUAAUUAAUUGAUGAUGCCUGGCACCCUCUUCGGAACUGUGAGCCCCUCCAGACAAAGUUGGAAUCUUAUAUAGAAAACAACUUUAACCCUGCUGGAAAUAACCUGCUUAGUUAUUGUGCUAGUUAAUGGGGGAAAGUUGAAUAAAACCCAGGCCCUACCCUCAAGAACGUGGAGAUACUCAAUAAAUGAUAGUGGGAGGAAGGAAGUCAACCCAGGAAAAAGCAGAAGGGACCAGCUGAGCUGAAGAUUUAUCUUUGCCCAAAAAUUUCGCAGAAUGACAGAACUGAAAGGAACUUUUAGAGGCAAUCACUUAGUCAACCUCUUGCUGUUACAGGUAAGGAAAAUUGGAUCCAAAGAAGCGUCUAAAUGUCACACAAUGAGUUUCAAUGCUAGCACCAAAAGUAGAGUCUCAAAAUGCUUGCCACCUCUCCCAUUCCCAAAAUCUGCCUCAAAAUGUUAAUAAGGUAAGGGUAGAUUCACUUUUAAAUCCUUCCCUCUCAAGUGAAAAGGAUUAGGAAAAUCCCAGUCCUGGAGAGACAAGGGCAAUGUA